AGACCCGAAACCCGGUGAUCUAGCCAUGGGCAGGUUGAAGGUUGGGUAACACUAACUGGAGGACCGAACCGACUAAUGUUGAAAAAUUAGCGGAUGACCUGUGGCUGGGGGUGAAAGGCCAAUCAAACCGGGAGAUAGCUGGUUCUCCCCGAAAGCUAUUUAGGUAGCGCCUCGUGAAUUCAUCUCCGGGGGUAGAGCACUGUUUCGGCUAGGGGGUCAUCCCGACUUACCAACCCGAUGCAAACUGCGAAUACCGGAGAAUGUUAUCACGGGAGACACACGGCGGGUGCUAACGUCCGUCGUGAAGAGGGAAACAACCCAGACCGCCAGCUAAGGUCCCAAAGUCAUGGUUAAGUGGGAAACGAUGUGGGAAGGCCCAGACAGCCAGGAUGUUGGCUUAGAAGCAGCCAUCAUUUAAAGAAAGCGUAAUAGCUCACUGGUCGAGUCGGCCUGCGCGGAAGAUGUAACGGGGCUAAACCAUGCACCGAAGCUGCGGCAGCGACACUCAGGUGUUGUUGGGUAGGGGAGCGUUCUGUAAGCCUGCGAAGGUGGCCUGUGAGGGUUGCUGGAGGUAUCAGAAGUGCGAAUGCUGACAUAAGUAACGAUAAAGCGGGUGAAAAGCCCGCUCGCCGGAAGACCAAGGGUUCCUGUCCAACGUUAAUCGGGGCAGGGUGAGUCGACCCCUAAGGCGAGGCCGAAAGGCGUAGUCGAUGGGAAACGGGUUAAUAUUCCCGUACUUGGUGUUACUGCGAAGGGGGGACGGAGAAGGCUAUGUUGGCCGGGCGACGGUUGUCCCGGUUUAAGCGUGUAGGCUGGUUUUCCAGGCAAAUCCGGAA
rnacentral:rRNA from 1 species